GAUCGGCCCGCGUCUGAUUAGCUAGUUGGUGAGGUAAGAGCUUACCAAGGCAACGAUCGGUAGCUGGUCUGAGAGGACGAUCAGCCACACUGGGACUGAGACACGGCCCAAACUCCUACGGGAGGCAGCAGUGGGGAAUAUUGGACAAUGGGCGCAAGCCUGAUCCAGCCAUGCCGCGUGAGUGAUGAAGGCCUUCGGGUUGUAAAGCUCUUUUGGCGGGGACAAUGAUGACGGUACCCGCAGAAUAAGCCCCGGCAAACUUCGUGCCAGCAGCCGCGGUAAGACGAAGGGGGCAAGCGUUGUUCGGAAUUACUGGGCGUAAAGGGCGCGUAGGCGGCUCGUUAAGUCAGGCGUGAAAGCCCUGGGCUCAACCUGGGAAUGGCGCUUGAUACUGAGGGGCUGGAGAGCGGGAGAGGAUGGUGGAAUUCCCAGUGUAGAGGUGAAAUUCGUAGAUAUUGGGAAGAACACCGGUGGCGAAGGCGGCCAUCUGGACCGUAUCUGACGCUGAGGCGCGAAAGCGUGGGGAGCAAAACGGAUUAGAUACCCUGGUAGUCCACGCUGUAAACGAUGAAUGCUGGAACUUGCGGAACUUGCUCUGCGGUGUCGUAACUAAAGCGAAAAGCACUCCGCCUGGGGAGUA
rnacentral:rRNA from 1 species